rnacentral:rRNA from 1 species
AGAACGAACGCUGGCGGCAGGCUUAACACAUGCAAGUCGAACGCGUGUAGCAAUACACGAGUGGCGCACGGGUGAGUAACGCGUGGAUAUCUGCCUUUUGGUUCGGAAUAACCCCGGGAAACUGGGGCUAAUACCGGAUGGUUCCUACGGGAUAAAGAUUUAUCGCCAAAAGAUGAGUCCGCGUACGAUUAGCUAGUUGGUGAGGUAAUGGCUCACCAAGGCGACGAUCGUUAGCUGGUCUGAGAGGACGAUCAGCCACACUGGAACUGAGACACGGUCCAGACUCCUACGGGAGGCAGCAGUGGGGAAUCUUGCGCAAUGGGCGAAAGCCUGACGCAGCAACGCCGCGUGUGUGAUGAAGGUCUUCGGAUCGUAAAGCACUGUCGCGAGGGACGAGAAGCCCAUUACAAACAGUGAUGGGAUAGGACGGUACCUCGAGAGGAAGCACCGGCUAACUCUGUCGCCAGCAGCCGCGGU